UGAGUAACCUGCCCUUAACUCUGGGAUAAGCCUGGGAAACUGGGUCUAAUACCGGAUAUGACUCCUCAUCGCAUGGUGGGGGGUGGAAAGCUUUAUUGUGGUUUUGGAUGGACUCGCGGCCUAUCAGCUUGUUGGUGAGGUAAUGGCUCACCAAGGCGACGACGGGUAGCUGGUCUGAGAGGACGACCAGCCACACUGGAACUGAGAUACGGUCCAGACUCCUACGGGAGGNAG
rnacentral:rRNA from 1 species